UCCUCGAUAGCUCAACGGCAGAGCAUCCGGCUGUUAACCGGAGGGUUGCAGGUUCGAAACCUGCUCGGGGAGCCA
rnacentral:tRNA from 1 species